GCCCGGAUGGCGGAAUCGGCAGACGCAACGGACUUAAAAUCCGUCGGGGAUUUAAACCCCCGUGCCAGUUCAAGUCUGGCUCCGGGCA
rnacentral:tRNA from 1 species